rnacentral:misc_RNA from 1 species
UCUCCGUUGGUGAACCAGCGGAGGGAUCAUUACAAAUUUCCGCUGCGCGCUCGGGAGGUAACUCCCCUGCGACCGGAAAAAACCCAGUGAACUUAACCUUAUGUUGCCUCGGCGUGGUGACUCUCUCUUAUAGGAAAGGAGCCCGCCGGUGGACUAAAAAAACUCUUUUAUACUCUUUGAGAUAUAUCUGAUUACACUUUAUACAAAUGUUAUAAAACUUUCAACAACGGAUCUCUUGGCUCCAGCAUCGAUGAAGAACGCAGC